GACGAACGCUGGCGGCGUGCUUAACACAUGCAAGUCGAACGGGCCCGCUCUCUUUUUUGGGGGUGGGUUGAGUGGCGAACGGGUGAGUAUCACGUGAGUAACCUGCCCCCUGCUCCUGGAUAACUGCUUGAAAGGGCGGCUAAUACGGGGUGUGCCGGCUGGUCCGCAUGGGCCUGGUCGGGAUAGUUUCAUCUUCGGGUGUUUCGGUGGGGGAUGGGCUCGCGGCCUAUCAGCUUGUUGGUGGGGUGAUGGCCCACCAAGGCGGUGACGGGUAGCCGGCCUGAGAGGGUGGGCGGCCACACUGGGACUGAGACACGGCCCAGACUCCUGCGGGAGGCAGCAGUGGGGGGUAGUGCACAAUGGGCGGAAGUCUGAGGCAGCGACGUCGCGUGAGGGAUGGAGGCCUUCGGGUUGUGAACCUCUUUCUCCGGUGGUGAAGGCCCUGUCCGUUGCGGCGGGGUUGACGGUAGCCGGGUAUGAAGCGCCGGCUAACUACGUG
rnacentral:rRNA from 1 species